rnacentral:rRNA from 1 species
GAUGAACGCUGGCGGCGUGCCUAAUACAUGCAAGUCGAGCGAAUGGAUUAAGAGCUUGCUCUUAUGAAGGUAGCGGCGGACGGGUGAGUAACACGUGGGUAACCUGCCCAUAAGACUGGGAUAACUCCGGGAAACCGGGGCUAAUACCGGAUAACAUUUUGAACCGCAUGGUUCGAAAUUGAAAGGCGGCUUCGGCUGUCACUUAUGGAUGGACCCGCGUCGCAUUAGCUAGUUGGUGAGGUAACGGCUCACCAAGGCAACGAUGCGUAGCCGACCUGGGAGGGUGAUCGGCCACACUGGGACUGAGGCACGGCCCAGACUCCUACGGGAGGCAGCAGUAGGGAAUCUUCCGCAAUGGACGAAAGUCUGACGGAGCAACGCCGCGUGAGUGAUGAAGGCUUUCGGGUCGUAAAACUUUGUUGUUAGGGAAGAACAAGUGCUAGUUGAAUAAGCUGGCACCUUGACGGUACCUAACCAGAAAGCCACGGCUAACUACGUGCCAGCCGCCGCGGUAA